UCAGAUCACUUGAAAUUAAAGUUAUUUGCACUAAUGGAUGCAGAAGAUUCAUUAAGGCCAAAGCCAUCAGUUAUAUCACAGAUUUACCGUAGAAUUUCACAGUUAUAUCAGAAAUUACUGGAUAGUUGGACUCCUUAUACUACCAUUCGAUGGAUAGUUACUUUUCUUCUUUUAAUGCUAUAUAUGGUCAGGGUAUUGUACAUUCAGGGGUGGUACAUCAUUACCUAUGCUUUAGGAAUUUAUCAUCUGAAUCUUUUCAUUGCUUUCUUAACACCAAAAUUAGACCCUGCUAUGUCUGAUGAUCCAGAUGAUGGUCCAGAACUUCCCACUAAAGCCAAUGAAGAAUUUCGUCCUUUUAUUAGGCGGUUACCAGAAUUCAAAUUUUGGUAUUCAGCAACAAAAGCCACCCUCAUUGCAAUGUUUUGUACUUUCUUUGAAGCCUUUAAUAUACCAGUUUUCUGGCCCAUUUUGUUGCUUUACUUUGUCACACUCUUCUGUCUUACAAUGAAACGUCAAAUCAAGCAUAUGAUAAAGUAUAAGUACCUACCAUGGUCAAGAGGAAAAACUAUUUAUCGAGGAAAGGAAGACACAGGAAAAGUCAUCCAGACCAAGUGAGGAAUGCCUUCUUGCUAUCACUGGCUGCCUGUAUAUAAUGUGCAUUGAGAGAUGGCAUACAAGGACUCUGUAGAGCCUAUAAAUGUGGCAUGCCUUAACUACAGAAUUAUUGAACAAUAAAGGGUGCAGUAUGGUCAAGGAAAGAAGAAGCAGGAGGAGGACAAUAUUUUGCCAUUAUUUAUCUCUGGUGUGUGCAGAAUCCAUCUUUGUAUAUCUACAAAACUAUCAGAAAGGAUUAAGAAUAAAGAAUUGAUAUGUUCUCUCAAUUACUGAUGAACUAAUGACAGUGACUGAAUUUUUAAUAUGAAGCCUUCAUUUUCAUCGGUCCCAAUAUAAGUUUGUUCUUCAUAGACAUUUCAAGAUGUACAUUAUUCUAAAUAUUGUCAUAGUUUUUUAUAGUUAGAAAAAAAAUAAUUUUCAAUGAAAUAACAUAUUAUAGUCUAGCACACAUUUUAAUACACUUGGUUUAUUGACCAAAUGCAAUUAAACCAAUUUAGAAUUCAGCUAGAAAAAUAAGUUGUAUUUGGAUUUUUCAGAAUGUCAGUUUACAUUUGUUAAUGAUAAAAUACAUCAUUAAACCUAAAAUGUUAAAAUUAUCUGUUACAGUAUUAUAUAGAAAAAUUUUCUAGUUGAAAUAUCCUAAGUGACAUUUAAUAUUUUUAAUAUAUCCUUGGAAGACAGUUUCUAUACAGUUGAGAAUAAAAUAUUGAAUGUUUAAAUCACUUUGAGUUUAAAGUAAUGUUUGCACUGUAUUGAGAUUAUUCAAAAUUUUAACUUGUGAUUAGUGUAUUAAUUUAAAAAAUUGAUCUGUAGAUGGCAUUUUGAUCAUUGCAUAGUUUGUCUAAUGUAGAAAUGCAGUAAGUUGAUGUUAUAUAUUUUGUCAACAUUAAGAGAGUUUUACUAAAUUAAAUAGUAAAAACAGUCAAUUCUUUAUAGAAAAAUAAUUUUAAUUAUUACAAAAAUUAUAUUUUAUAUUCAAAAUUUAACUGAUCAUAAUUCUUUUGUAAAGAUUAUUCUCGUGCAAUUAAAAUUUUUUUUUCCUGCU